rnacentral:lncRNA from 1 species
AAAAGGAGGAGGAUAUAUAUUUUGCUUUAAUAUAAAAAGUUUGUCGAGAAUAACAAGUUAAACGGGUCUUGCUUAUAAAAUUCACUAUACUUUCUUUAAUAGCGGUACAAUAUUAGAUUAUGAAAUGAAAUGAUUGUCAGAAAAAAAGGUUAAUUAUAAUUCAUCUCAUAUGUUUACAAGCUUUGUAUGAUGUGGAGAGGUAUAUAGCCACGCUUUAGGCCCAAUUUUAUUUUCACUUUCAAUUCUAUACACAUGAAUCUUAUUGCAGAGAAAUAACAAAAAUAUCGCAGUCAGUUUACGCUUCCCAAAUUUGAAAAUUUGAUAAAGAUGAUUUGUUAUCCUCUUGUGAUACAAAACUUUUUCACAACUUAAGAACCUCAUCUAAACGAACAAACCCAGUCAUCGGAUUUUUUU